CUUCAGAACACUUAGAGAUGCCCCAGGCUCACCGAAGGAAGGGACAAUUGGUCUCAGUUCUCCCAUGGUUCCUAAGAGUCUGAAUCCCAAGACCUGGGUGGAUGUUCACUCUUCAAUGACUGGGUUUGGAACUGGCCUACAGCAUGGAACAGAGGAGGCUGCUUUUUCUGCCCUGUUGUCUUUCCAUCUCUCUCUUUUGGGACAAGAUCUCUCAUCACUUUUGCAUGUUUGCUUUGUUUUUUCUCUCUUCCUUUCUCCAUUUCCACAUAGUUUGCCAUGCCUAUUAGAGAGUGGCACCUGGGUCUUGAAUGACCAAGCUCAGUUUCUGCAGGUCUGAUUUCCCCACACAGAGAAUCCAGCUGGUCUGCUGUGGACCUAUGAGGUGUGCUUAAGUAGUGAUCAGAAAGACCAAUAAAAUAUCUUUUUAGGGGAGAGGGGUAUAGCUCCGUAGCAGAGCACUUGCUUAUCAUGUGCAAAGCCCUGGGUCUGAUUCGCAACACACACACACACACACACACACACACACGCUGCACAGGCACACACACUCACGUGCUUUUUCUUGGCAUCAGUUAGGCUUUUUUUGGGUAAGAACCAGGGGGAUGGAUUGCUCUUUUUAAUGUCUACUGCUGGCAGGAGCCAUGAUCCUGAGUUUCUGGAACCUAUUUUCUAUCAAGUCGUGGACAGAUUUUUAAGUGUUUGAACACCGAAUUUGGAAUGAAUUGAGCAUCGCUGUACAAUGCCUACAAUUUAAAAGAGGAGAAGUUUAUUUGGCUCACCGUUUCCAGUGGGUUCAGUCCAUGGUCAGUUGGCUCCAAGGCAGAAAUGGCAGGGUGGAAAAGCUGGGCAGAGGAAAGCUGCUCAUAUCGUGGUGGCCAGGAAGCAGAGAGAGCAGGAAAGAGCUAAGGAGAAGAGGCCACUUUUCUAGGUCCUGUGCCUGGUAGCUCAUCUCCAGCCAGGCCCCACCUCCUAACAUACAAUCACGUGCUGAACUGAUCAAUAGAUGAUCUACUGAUGAGUAUAGUGCUCCCAUGGUGCAAUCACUUUCCACCCACAUGAGAUUUUGGGGGGAUAUUUUAGCUCUAAACCCUAACCCCUUCCCUUGAAGUCGUGCUCAAAGUCCAGCCAUGUUCUCGGAGGUCCUCUCAGGUUGCUGUUGGGUGAUUGCUAACUUGUAUAAAACUUAGGCAUUUAGGGUGUCUGUAGCACCCUAUUCAUUUUUACAUUCCUCCUCUUAAAGAAC
ensembl:lncRNA